CGGGUGCACUGAUCCAGCCGGGCCUUUCCCUCUGUGGAACCCCAUGGCCUUCACUGGCUGUGGUGGGGAAACAGGACUUUUACUUUGAAAAAAUUAGAGUGCUCCAGGCAGGCCUAUGCUCGAAUACAUUAGCAUGGAAUAAUAGAAUAGGACGUGUGGUUCUAUUUUGUUGGUUUCUAGGACCGCCGUAAUGAUUAAUAGGGACAGUCGGGGGCAUCAGUAUUCAAUUGUCAGAGGUGAAAUUCUUGGAUCUAUUGAAGACUAACUACUGCGAAAGCAUUUGCCAAGGAUGUUUUCAUUGAUAAGGAACGAAAGUUAGGGGAUCGAAGACGAUCAGAUACCGUCGUAGUCUUAACUAUAAACUAUGCCGACUAGGGGAUCGGACGAUGUUAUUCUUUGACGCGUUCGGCACCUUUCGAGAAAUCAAAGUGCUUGGGCUCCAGGGGGAGUAUGGUCGCAAGGCUGAAACUUAAAGAAAUUGACGGAAGGGCACCACCAGGGGUGGAACCUGCGGCUUAAUUUGACUCAACACGGGGAGACUCACCAGGUCCAGACACAGUGAGGAUUGACAGAUUGAGAGCUCUUUCUUGAUUCUGUGGGUGGUGGUGCAUGGCCGUUCUUAGUCGGUGGAGUGAUUUGUCUGCUUAAUUGCGAUAACGAACGAGACCUUAACCUGCUAAAUAGCCCGUACUGCUUUGGCAGUUCGCCGGCUUCUUAGAGGGACUAUCGG
rnacentral:rRNA from 1 species